UCAAGACGUCCAUUUCAUUUCAGCUUGUCCCAGUCAACAUCACAGCAGUGCAGUUUUUCAGCACAAGAUUAUGUAGGUGCGUGACUGCAUUAGUAUGCUAGUGAGUGUGUGUAGGUUAUAAGAGAUGGGCAGCAGUGAGGAGCAAAGCUGCUUCUGUGUCGCUCUGAGCUUUCUGAAGGACGCAGAGGAAGACACUGAGCUGCAAGUGUCCAAACAGAUACAGCAUCAGGAUCUCACACUGAAGGUCAACAGAGAGACAGAGGAUGUCACCCUUACAGUAGAGGACGGUGAUGGAGUGUGUGUUUUUAAGUUCUCCAUUAUGAGGGAGACAGAGUGCUGUCGAGUGGGGACUCAGUGCUUCCUUGUAACUGCGGGUUGUGUGAGCAUCCUGUUGAGGUUCAAGACGCGGACAGAAUUUCAGACCUUCCACAGAACAAUAAGGGCAUGCACUGACAGCAGGAGAGAGCUGUCAGCAUUCGACCAGAGGACAGAGAGCUCGUCUGCCCUCCAAUACUUCCAGUUUUAUGGCUGUCUUUCGCAGCAGCAGAACAUGCUUCAGGAUUACCUGAGAACAGCCACAUACCAAAAAGCCAUUUUACUGAAUGACGUUGACUUCAGAGAUAAAGUGGUGCUCGAUGUUGGAUGUGGAACAGGGAUUUUGUCCUUUUUUGCCAUCCAGGCUGGAGCUAGGAAAGUGUACGCAGUGGAGGCCAGUUCCGUGGCCACAUAUGCAGAAGUGCUGGUGAGGAGUAACGGCUUGGCGGACAGGAUCGUUGUGCUUGCUGGGAAGAUCGAGGAGGUGUCCUGCCCUGAGAAAGUGGACAUCAUCAUCUCAGAACCCAUUGGCUACAUGCUUCUUAAUGAGAGGAUGCUGGAGAGCUAUUUACACUCCAAAAAAUGGUUGAAGCCUAAAGGCAUGAUGUUCCCCACCUUCAGUGACAUCCAUCUGGCCCCAUUUACAGAUGAGCAGCUUUACUUGGAGCACCAUGCACGCUCCAACUUCUGGCUCCAGACCUCUUUCUACGGGGUAAACCUGAGUGGACUCCAUCCUGCAGCCAUGGACGAGUUCUUCAGACAGCCGAUUGUGGAUACGUUUGAAGCUCAGAUUCUAAUGGCCAGGUCUGUAAAACACAGCAUUAACUUUAUGGGAGCAAAAGAAGAGGACUUGCACAGGAUGGAAAUUCCCUUUGUCUUCAAACUCAUGCAGUCAGGACUGAUUCAUGGACUUGCGUUCUGGUUUGAUGUGGCAUUUGUAGGAUCAAGGACAACAGUGUGGCUAUCCACUGCACCGCAUGAGCCACUGUCUCACUGGUACCAGGUCCGAUGUCUCCUACAGACGCCUCUGUUUGCAAAAAUAGGCCAGACCCUAUCUGGACAGGUUCUACUGAUUGCCAACAAGAGACAGAGCUAUGAUAUUCAUAUCACAGCCGUAAUUGAUGAGUCUGGCUUUAAAUCUGGCAACACAUUGGACCUUAAAAACCCUUUCUUCCGGAUGCCACGGUGGCUGCAGAUGUAAAGAGCCCACAGCAGUAAAGAGCAUUAAGUGAGGAUUGGCAGAGUAGUCAGUGCCACAGUGGCUGGAAAAGCGGCAUCCGUGGAGUAGGCUGGGUAUGCUUGACCGACCAUUUGUUGCUGGGAUCGUCAAUCUGCUUUGAAAUCCUGAUUCAGAUACAAGAAAUACCCCAUACAAGCUCAGAUAAUCAGUUAUAAAUCACAUGCUUUAUUUCUAUAAGAGCUGUGUUGCAUACGUGUGUGUUGUGAAGUCUGUAUCCUGCAACAUUGUUUUGGUGCAACUUGAAGACAAAUAAAAUACAAUUAUUUGCAAUACAG